UGAUAAUUAGUUUAAAAAAAACAAGUGAUUUCGACUCACUAGACUAUGAACAUACUCAUAAUUAUCAA
rnacentral:tRNA from 1 species